rnacentral:rRNA from 1 species
UACAGAGGGUGCAAGCGUUAAUCGGAAUUACUGGGCGUAAAGGGCGCGUAGGCGGAUGGCACAGUCAGAUGUGAAAUUCCCGGGCUUAACCUGGGGGCUGCAUUUGAUACGUGUUGUCUUGAGUUCGGAAGAGGGUCGUGGAAUUCCCAGUGUAGAGGUGAAAUUCGUAGAUAUUGGGAAGAACACCGGUGGCGAAGGCGGCGACCUGGUCCGACACUGACGCUGAGGCGCGAAAGCGUGGGGAGCAAACAGG